CCUUCAGGAGUGACGUGGAGACGCAGUAGUGACAGUGCCGCCAUCUGACGGAAUAGAUGGUUGAAGGGUGUAGGAGUCGAUCAUGGCAGGCAAAUCCACCAUGAGAUCCGAACCUGACAGUAUGCCGCGUCCUUCGGGACAAGGCAAUAGUGCGCGUAAGCAUGCUGCCGAGGAAAUCCGCUAAACUUAAUCCUGCAGGUACCCGUACCGCAAACGGACACACGUAGUCGGGAUGAAUAUUCUAAGGCGCUUGAGUGAUUCACGGUUAAGGAACUAGGCAAACUGACCCUGUAACUUCGGGAUAAAGGGUCCCUACCCUUUUAUGGGAGGGCGCAGAGAAUCGGUCCAGGCAACUGUUUAACAAAAACACAGGGCUGUGCCAAAUCGAAAGAUCCAGUAUACAGCCUGACACCUGCCCGGUGCUGGAAGGUUAAGAGGAGAUGUCAUCGAUAAGAGAAGCGUUGAAUUGAAGCCCCAGUAAACGGCGGCCGUAACAAUAACGGUCCUAAGGUAGCGAAAUUCCUUGUCGGGUAAGUUCCGACCUGCACGAAUGGUGUAAUGAUCUGGACGCUGUCUCAACCGUGAGCUCAGUGAAAUUGUAGUAUCGGUGAAGAUGCCGAUUACCCGCGAUGGGACGAAAAGACCCCGUGAACCUUUACUAUAGCUUAUCAUUGAAUCUGGGCACGUGAUGUGUAGGAUAGGUCGGAGGCUUUGAAGCAGGUACGCCAGUAUUUGUGGAGCCGCUGUUGAAAUACGACCCUUUAUUUGUUUGGAUUCUAACCCGUGGAACGGGGACAUUGAUUGGUGGGUAGUUUGACUGGGGUGGUCGCCUCCAAAAGCGUAACGGAGGCUUCUAAAGGUGCCCCCCGGCCGAUUGGUAACCGGCCUUAGAGUGUAAUGGCAUAAGGGCGCUUGACUGGGAGACUGACAAGUCGAUCAGGUAGGAAACUAGAGCAUAGUGAUCCGGUGUUUCCGCAUGGAAGGGACAUCGCUCAAAGGAUAAAAGGUACUCCGGGGAUAACAGGCUGAUCCCUCCCAAGAGCUCAUAUCGACGGAGUGGUUUGGCACCUCGAUGUCGGCUCGUCACAUCCUGGGGCUGGAGAAGGUCCCAAGGGUUGGGCUGUUCGCCCAUUAAAGUGGCACGCGAGCUGGGUUCAGAACGUCGUGAGACAGUUCGGUCUCUAUCUAUCGUGGGCGUAUGAAAUUUGCGUGGCUCUGACACUAGUACGAGAGGACCGUGUUGGACAGACCUCUGGUUUGCCGGUUGUGCCGCCAGGUGCAUUGCCGGGUAUCUAAGUCUGGAUCGGAUAAGUGCUGAAAGCAUCUAAGUACGAAGCCGGCCACAAGAUUAGAUUUCUCAGGGUCGUUGUAGACUACGACGUUGAUAGGAUGCAGGUGUAAAGAUGGAGACAUCAAAGCCGAGCAUUACUAAUUGCCCAA
rnacentral:rRNA from 1 species